UACGUAGGUGGCAAGCGUUGUCCGGAUUUACUGGGCGUAAAGAGCGCGCAGGCGGUCAUUCAAGUCGCGUGUGAAAGCCCCCGGCUCAACUGGGGAGGGUCACGCGAUACUGAUCGACUCGAAGGCAGGAGAGGGAAGUGGAAUUCCCGGUGUAGUGGUGAAAUGCGUAGAUAUCGGGAGGAACACCAGUGGCGAAGGCGACUUCCUGGCCUGUUCUUGACGCUGAGGCGCGAAAGCUAGGGGAGCAAACGGG
rnacentral:rRNA from 1 species